rnacentral:rRNA from 1 species
AAUCAACGCUGGCGGCGUGCCUCAGACAUGCAAGUCGAACGAUUAAAGCUCUCUUCGGAGAGUGCAUAGAGUGGCGCACGGGUGAGUAACACGUAAGUAAUCUACCUUCGAGUGGGGAAUAACGUCCGGAAACGGACGCUAAUACCGCAUAAUGCAGCGGCAUCGCAAGAUGACAGUUGUUAAAGGAGCAAUUCGCUUGAAGAGGAGCUUGCGGCAGAUUAGCUAGUUGGUAAGGUAAUGGCUUACCAAGGCUACGAUCUGUAACCGGUCUAAGAGGACGGUCGGUCACACUGACACUGAAUAACGGGUCAGACUCCUACGGGAGGCAGCAGUCGGGAAUUUUGGGCAAUGGGCGAAAGCCUGACCCAGCAACGCCGCGUGAAGGAUGAAGUAUUUCGGUAU